UCAAAACAUCGUAACCUGCA
rnacentral:siRNA from 1 species